rfam:Populus trichocarpa scaffold_17_contig_358, whole genome shotgun sequence.
UCUAGAACUCGAGAUAUGGGCUGAACACUGAACAAUAUCUGGGCUGCAGGACAGAUUUGGACUUCUCUGUUGUUGCUAGAAUUUGGACUUGAAAACGGCCUUUUUUAAUCUUGGACUCCCAUGAAAGUUUUAGGCCUAUGUCUUAGCUUUCCAUC